CCUACGGGGGGCAGCAGUAGGGAAUCUUCCGCAAUGGACGAAAGUCUGACGGAGCAACGCCGCGUGAGCGAAGAAGGUCUUCGGAUCGUAAAGCCCUGUUGUUAGGGAAGAACAAGUACGGGAGGAAAUGACCGUACCUUGACGGUACCUAACGAGGAAGCCACGGCUAACUACGUGCCAGCAGCCGCGGUAAUACGUAGGUGGCAAGCGUUGUCCGGGAUUUUUGGGCGUAAAGCGGGAGCAGGCGGUCUUUUUAGUCUGAUAGGAAAGUUUGCGGCUCAACCGCAAGCGUUCAUUGGAAACUGGGAGACAAGAGGGCAGAAGAUGAAAGCGGAAUUCCACGUGUAGCGGUGAAAUGCGUAGAGAUGUGGAGGGACACCAGUGGCGAAAGCGGCUUUCUGAUCUGUAACCGACGCUGAGGCGCGAAAGCGUGGGGAGCAAACAGGAGUAGAUACCCCCGUAGUC
rnacentral:rRNA from 1 species